CGUGUAGGCGGUUCGGAAAGUCGGAUGUGAAAUCCCCGGGCUCAACUCGGGAACUGCAUCCGAAACUUCCGAACUAGAGUCCCGGAGAGGAAGGCAGAAUUCCCAGUGUAGGGGUGAAAUCCGUAGAUACUGGGAGGAAUACCAGAGGCGAAGGCGGCCUUCUGGACGGUGACUGACGCUGAGACGCGAAAGCGUGGGGAGCAAACA
rnacentral:rRNA from 1 species